rnacentral:rRNA from 1 species
UACUAGAGUAGCACUCGCAUAUCAAUAAGCGGAGGAAAAGAAACUAACAAGGAUUCCCCUAGUAACGGCGAGUGAAGCGGGAAGAGCUCAAAUUUGAAAUCUUAAAGGGUUUCCCUUUACGAAUUGUAGUUUAAAGAAGUGUUUUCUGUUGAGGUUUUGGUAAAAGUUCUUUGGAAUAGGACAUCAUAGAGGGUGAGAAUCCCGUAUUUGACCUUUACUUUCAACUUUGUGAUACACUUUCAAAGAGUCGGAUUGUUUGGGAAUGCAGUCCAAAAUGGGUGGUAAAUUUCAUCUAAAGCUAAAUAUUGGCGAGAGACCGAUAGCGAACAAGUACCGUGAGGGAAAGAUGAAAAGAACUUUGAAAAGAGAGUUAAACAGUACGUGAAAUUGUCAAAAGGGAAGCGUUUGACACCAGUGUUGUUUUUCUGAAAAUCAAUUAAGGAACUGUUUAUGCUAAGCUGUUUAGACUUUAUCAGCUAUCUGUUUAGUUUUGAGCUUUUCUUUAAUGCACUUUUCAGUUAACAAGUCAACAUCAAUUUCUUUUGCUGUAAAAAAGCUUGAGGAAGGUGGCUUGAGAUUCGUCUUAAGUGUUUAUAGCCUCUUGCCUAUGCAGUCGGAGAGAUUGAGGUCUGCAGCGUAGAUCCUUCGGGGCUAAAUGCAUUUGUGCUAAGUUAUAGCAUUUUAUAGACAACUUGUUGACUAUGAUUUGUCUUGUAGCUUACUCGCUUAUGUUAUUUUACCUACGCUUAGGAUGUUGAGCGCAUGUCUCUCUCU